rnacentral:rRNA from 1 species
CUCCGCCUGGGGACUACGGUCGCAAGACUAAAACUCAAAGGAAUUGACGGGGACCCGCACAAGCGGUGGAGCAUGUGGUUUAAUUCGAUGCAACGCGAAAAACCUUACCACUCCUUGACAUGGAGAUUAGAUCCUUCUUAACGGAAGGGCGCAGUUCGGCUGGAUCUCGCACAGGUGCUGCAUGGCUGUCGUCAGCUCGUGUCGUGAGAUGUUGGGUUAAGUCCCGCAACGAGCGUAACCCUCAUCCUUAGUUGCCAGCGGGUUAAGCCGGGCACUUUAAGGAAACUGCCAGUGGUAAACUGGAGGAAGGUGGGGAUGAUGUCAAGUCAGCACGGCCCUUAUGGGGUGGGCUACACACGUGCUACAAUGGUGACUACAAUAGGUUGCAAUGUCGCAAGGCUGAGCUAAUCCGUAAAAGUCAUCUCAGUUCGGAUUGUCCUCUGCAACUCGAGGGCAUGAAGUCGGAAUCGCUAGUAAUCGUGGAUCAGCAUGCCACGGUGAAUACGUUCUCGGGUCUUGUACACACUGCCCGUCACGCCAUGGGAAUUGGCUUAACUCGAAGCUGGUGCGCUAACCGAAAGGAAGCAGCCAAUA